GGCUGGUCCGAAGGUAUUGAGUUAUCUUAACUGAUUGUUCACAGUCAGUUACAGAUCGAACUCCUUGUUCUACUCUUUCACUCCCUCUCACUACUGCACUUGACUAGUCAAAA
ensembl:Y_RNA Y_RNA Y RNA